CGCGGCCUAUCAGCUUGUUGGUGAGGUAACGGCUCACCAAGGCAUCGACGGGUAGCUGGUCUGAGAGGACGAUCAGCCACACUGGGACUGAGACACGGCCCAGACUCCUGCGGGAGGCAGCAGUGGGGAAUCUUGCGCAAUGGGCGAAAGCCUGACGCAGCAACGCCGCGUGGGGGAUGAAGGCCCUAGGGUUGUAAACCGCUUUCAGCAGGGAAGAAAAUGACGGUACCUGCAGAAGAAGCCCCGGCCAACUACGUGCCAGCAGCCGCGGUAACACGUAGGGGGCAAGCGUUGUCCGGAUUUAUUGGGCGUAAAGAGCUCGUAGGCGGUUGCGUAAGUCGGAUGUGAAAACUCAGGGCUCAACCCGGAGACGCCAUCCGAUACUGCGCUGACUAGAGUCCGGUAGAGGAGCAUGGAAUUCCUGGUGUAGCGGUGAAAUGCGCAGAUAUCAGGAGGAACACCAGUGGCGAAGGCGGUGCUCUGGGCCGGUACUGACGCUGAGGAGCGAAAGCGUGGGUAGCGAACAGGAUUAGAUACCCUGGUAGUCCACGCCGUAAACGAUGGGCACUAAGUGUCGGCAGGUUACUGCCGGUGCCGCAGUUAACGCAGUAAGUGCCCCGCCUGGGGAGUACGG
rnacentral:rRNA from 1 species